GAUGAACGCCGGCGGCGUGCCUAAUACAUGCAAGUCGAGCGAACAGACGAGGAGCUUGCUCCUCUGACGUUAGCGGCGGACGGGGGAGUAGCACGUGGAUAACCUACCUAUAAGACUGGGAUAACUUCGGGAAACCGGAGCUAAUACCGGAUAAUAUAUUGAACCGCAUGGUUCAAUAGUGAAAGACGGUUUUGCUGUCACUUAUAGAUGGAUCCGCGCCGCAUUAGCUAGUUGGUAAGGUAACGGCUUACCAAGGCGACAAUGCGUAGCCGACCUGGGAGGGUGAUGGGGCACACCGGAACUGAGACACGGUCCAGAAUCCUACGGAAGGCAGCAGUAGGGACUCUUCCGCAGUGGGCGAAAGCCUGACGGAGCAACGCGGCGUGAGUGAUGAAGGUCUUCGGAUCGUAAAACUCUGUUAUUAGGGAAGAACAAAUGUGUAAGUAAGUAUGCACGUCUUGACGGUACCUAAUCAGAAAGCCACGGCUAACUACGUG
rnacentral:rRNA from 1 species